rnacentral:rRNA from 1 species
GAUGAACGCUGGCGGCGUGCCUAAUACAUGCAAGUCGAGCGAACGGACGAGAAGCUUGCUUCUCUGAUGUUAGCGGCGGACGGGUGGGUAACACGUGGAUAACCUACCUAUAAGACUGGGAUAACUUCGGGAAACCGGAACUAAUACCGGAUGAUAUUUUGAACCGCAUGGUUCAAAAGUGAAAGACGGUCUUGCUGUCACUUAUAGAUGGAUCCGCGCUGCAUUAGCUAGUUGGUAAGGUAACGGCUUACCAAGGCAACGAUGCAUAGCCGACCUGAGAGGGUGAUCGGCCACACUGGAACUGAGACACGGUCCAGACUCCUACGGGAGGCAGCAGUAGGGAAUCUUCCGCAAUGGGCGAAAGCCUGACGGAGCAACGCCGCGUGAGUGAUGAAGGUCUUCGGAUCGUAAAACUCUGUUAUUAGGGAAGAACAUAUGUGUAAGUAACUGUGCACAUCUUGACGGUACCUAAUCAGAAAGCCACGGCUAACUACGUG